CGGCUCUCGGACUCUCUCAUGGGUCUGAGCUUCGGGCUUGGCGGGGUUCGGGGGAGGAUGGUUGGACUGGAGGAGGAGGUAGAGCGCGAAGGAGACGGCGUGGACGGCGAACACGACGACGAGGAUGCACGGGACGAGGCGGCGGAGCCUCUGGCCGUGGCUUUGGUGGUGAUUGCGCCCGGCCAUCAUCGCCGGCCGCCGGAGUGUCCUCCGCGCCGUCGGGGUUCCGUAGAUCCGGGGCCUGUGUGUACUCGGAGACGAUGGGGGGGAAGAGGAAGCCGUUACGCGUGUCGCAGGUGAGCUGUCGCCGGAGACAUCGCAUCGCCAUAGCGGUGGGCUGACCGGCGACGGCGUGCCUUCUUGCCAAUCGAGGCUGCGCGACCAGCCGGUCUUGGAUACUGCGGAGUGCCGUCGGUGCACGGCGUACCUGGCCAGUGUGCGAGUUGGGUCGCCUGCUGUGGAUGCCGCCUAGCCGUCGCCAUGUGAUCAAUCAAGCCCAGCGUCGCUGGACAAGUAUGCAAGUGUCAAUUCCACUGCUCCGGGCGACAAGCCAUAGCAUAUGUCGGUCUGGCGUGUAUCAUCGGAUUCGUGUUGAUCCGUCGCUUCGCACUGCGCCAUGUCGCUCCCGUCGUCGGGGCCCACCACACCGCCCGCUCUCCUCAGUCUACCUUAUCCCUCAAUGUGUUUCCAUGGCUCCUCUGCCUCGCUCUGCGCCACACACCACAACCCUCCAACCCCUCCCCCCAACGUCUCAUCGGAGUUGGCCUCCGACAACCCGGAGUCAAUCUCCCCUGCGCGUGCUGUUGUGGUUCUAAGUCUGACAGUAGUGUAGGGGGGUAAGUAUGAAGAGGCAAGAUCUUAGCUAUGGAGAAGUUGUAAGCACGCAAGGUUUACGAGUUCAGGCCCUUCUCGGAGGAAGUAAUAGCCCUACGUCUCAGAGCCCGGAGGCGGUCGACUGGAUU